rnacentral:rRNA from 1 species
GACGAACGCUGGCGGCGUGCUUAACACAUGCGAGUCGAACGGAAAGGCCCUGCUUUUGUGGGGUGCUCGAGUGGCGAACGGGUGAGUAACACGUGAGUAACCUGCCCUUGACUUUGGGAUAACUUCAGGAAACUGGGGCUAAUACCGGAUAGGAGCUCCUGCUGCAUGGUGGGGGUUGGAAAGUUUCGGCGGUUGGGGAUGGACUCGCGGCUUAUCAGCUUGUUGGUGGGGUAGUGGCUUACCAAGGCUUUGACGGGUAGCCGGCCUGAGAGGGUGACCGGCCACAUUGGGACUGAGAUACGGCCCAGACUCCUACGGGAGGCAGCAGUGGGGAAUAUUGCACAAUGGGCGGAAGCCUGAUGCAGCAACGCCGCGUGCGGGAUGACGGCCUUCGGGUUGUAAACCGCUUUCGCCUGUAACGAAGCGUGAGUGACGGUAAUGGGUAAAGAAGCACCGGCUAACUACGUG